rnacentral:pre_miRNA from 1 species
AGUGGAAUAGCUGGGUCAAAUGAUGGUUUCAUUCCAAGUUUUCUGAGCAAUCUCCAUACUGCUUUACAUUAUGGUUGCACCAAUUUCCAUUCUCACCAGCAAU